UACGGGGGGAGCAAGCGUUGUUCGGAUUUACUGGGCGUAAAGGGCGCGUAGGCGGCCACUGCAAGUCAGUUGUGAAAUCUCCGGGCUUAACCCGGAAAGGUCAACUGAUACUGCAGGGCUAGAGUGCAGAAGGGGCAACUGGAAUUCUCGGUGUAGCGGUGAAAUGCGUAGAUAUCGAGAGGAACACCUGCGGCGAAGGCGGGUUGCUGGGCUGAUACUGACGCUGAGGUGCGAAAAGCGUGGGGGAGCAAACAGGG
rnacentral:rRNA from 1 species